rnacentral:rRNA from 1 species
CUCCCAAACCCCUGUGAACAUACCUUAAUGUUGCCUCGGCGGAUCAGCCCGCGCCCCGUAAAACGGGACGGCCCGCCAGAGGACCCAAACUCUAAUGUUUCUUAUUGUAACUUCUGAGUAAAACAAACAAAUAAAUCAAAACUUUCAACAACGGAUCUCUUGGUUCUGGCAUCGAUGAAGAACGCAGCAAAAUGCGAUAAGUAAUGUGAAUUGCAGAAUUCAGUGAAUCAUCGAAUCUUUGAACGCACAUUGCGCCCGCUGGUAUUCCGGCGGGCAUGCCUGUUCGAGCGUCAUUUCAACCCUCAAGCCCCCGGGUUUGGUGUUGGGGAUCGGCUCUGCCCUUCUGGGCGGUGCCGCCCCCGAAAUACAUUGGCGGUCUCGCUGCAGCCUCCAUUGCGUAGUAGCUAACACCUCGCAACUGGAACGCGGCGCGGCCAUGCCGUAAAACCCCAACUUCUGAAUGUUGACCUCGGAUCAGGUAGGAAUACCCGCUGAAUUAAGCAUAUC